UGGGGAAUUUUGGACAAUGGGCGAAAGCCUGAUCCAGCAAUGCCGCGUGUGUGAAGAAGGCCUUCGGGUUGUAAAGCACUUUUGUCCGGAAAGAAAUCCUUGGCUCUAAUACAGUCGGGGGAUGACGGUACCGGAAGAAUAAGCACCGGCUAACUACGUGCCAGCAGCCGCGGUAAUACGUAGGGUGCAAGCGUUAAUCGGAAUUACUGGGCGUAAAGCGUGCGCAGGCGGUUUGCUAAGACCGAUGUGAAAUCCCCGGGCUCAACCUGGGAACUGCAUUGGUGACUGGCAGGCCAGAGUAUGGCAGAGGGGGGUAGAAUUCCACGUGUAGCAGUGAAAUGCGUAGAGAUGUGGAGGAAUACCGAUGGCGAAGGCAGCCCCCUGGGCCAAUACUGACGCUCAUGCACGAAAGCGUGGGGAGCAAACAGGAUUAGAUACCCUGGUAGUCCACGCCCUAAACGAUGUCAACUAGUUGUUGGGGAUUCAUUUCCUUAGUAACGUAGCUAACGCGUGAAGUUGACCGCCUGGGGAGUACGGUCGCAAGAUUAAAACUUCAAAUGGAAUUGACGGGGUCAUAGCUGUUUCCU
rnacentral:rRNA from 1 species